rnacentral:rRNA from 1 species
GGAAUCUUCCACAAUGGACGAAAGCCUGAUGGAGCAACGCCGCGUGAGUGAAGAAGGGUUUCGGCUCGUAAAACUCUGUUGUUAAAGAAGAACAUAUCUGAGAGUAACUGUUCAGGUAUUGACGGUAUUUAACCAGAAAGCCACGGCUAACUACGUGCCA